UACGAAGGGGGCUAGCGUUGUUCGGAAUCACUGGGCGUAAAGCGCACGUAGGCGGAUCUUUAAGUCAGGGGUGAAAUCCCGAGGCUCAACCUCGGAACUGCCUUUGAUACUGGGGAUCUCGAGUCCGGGAGAGGUGAGUGGAACUGCGAGUGUAGAGGUGAAAUUCGUAGAUAUUCGCAAGAACACCAGUGGCGAAGGCGGCUCACUGGCCCGGAACUGGCGCUGAGGUGCGAAAGCGUGGGGAGCAAACAGG
rnacentral:rRNA from 1 species